rnacentral:rRNA from 1 species
GACGGGGGAUGCAAGCGUUAUCCGGAAUGAUUGGGCGUAAAGGGUCCGCAGGUGGCCCGGUCAGUCCGCUGUCAAAGCCUGGGGGCUCAACCCUGGAGAGGCGGCGGAGACCACCGGGCUUGAGUCCGGUAGGGGCAGAGGGAAUUCCCGGUGGAGCGGUGAAAUGCGUAGAGAUCGGGAAGAACACCUGUGGCGAAAGCGGCGCACUGGACCACAACUGACGCUGAGGCGCGAAAGCUAGGGGAGCAAACAGG